UACGUAGGGAGCAAGCGUUGUCCGGAAUCAUUGGGCGUAAAGCGCGCGUAGGCGGCCUCAUAAGUCCGUUGUGAAAGUCAAAGGCUCAACCUUUGAAAGCCGAUGGAUACUGUGAGGCUAGAGUCCGGAAGAGGCGAGUGGAAUUCCUGGUGUAGCGGUGGAAUGCGCAGAUAUCAGGAGGAACACCAAUAGCGAAGGCAGCUCGCUGGGACGGUACUGACGCUAAGGCGCGAAAGCGUGGGGAGCAAACAGGG
rnacentral:rRNA from 1 species